rnacentral:lncRNA from 1 species
AAUCCAGUGUAGAAAAUACUGGAACAUAUGUAUAAAUUGAAAUCAGACUUGAUUAAAGACACACAUAUUGUGAAAUAAAAGGUAGAUCAUUCUUAUACUGCAUAGCUGGCAAUCAGAAAAGGAAGAUGGAGCUGCUUAUCCUUUUUUCUUCAGUCUUUGACUGCUGGGCAGAAAAGCUGAGUCAUAUUAACUGACUGUUGGCAGGUAAAAUAGAUUGGAAGCCAGUUCCAUGAUAUAUGUAAAGUGAAAUUAAUCUUCACAGAAACUGUAUUUUGGUUUUCGACAACACUUUGACAUAAUGGUGAAGAAUUUAGACUGCUUUAAGCUACAUUUGUCCUACUGUUUAUGUAAAUCCUUUAUUGCAACAGUGUUUUCUCAGGAAUAAUUUUUAAGGCUUUUGUUUUUAAAUUUGUCUGAGGUGAACUGAAGCAAAUCUGACACUUUCAAGGGGAUUGACCUGGCAAGGAGGCCAGGAACACCAGGAAAAUGGCAAGUGCUUUGCAGGGCUUGUGGCCCAAACUGGCACUUAGCAUUUUCCAAGCUACUGAGUAAUACUGGGAGCUGGAGUCCUCAAGUGCUCUGAAAAAGAAGAAUUCCUUCAGGGGAAUGUGCAUUUUGCAAUUAGACACUGAGGAGAUGUUUUCUCUAACUAUGGCUUCCUGCUGGGUCAGAGUGAGCUCACAGAGCACUUGCUUGAGAAGGGAAGGAAAGAAAUUCAGAUUCUAAGUGGUGGCAAGGUUUUGAACAUGCUUUCCAUGCCAACAAGAUGCAUUGCUCAGCAUGCUGGUUUGGUGGGAGAACAGGUA